rfam:Myotis davidii contig182523, whole genome shotgun sequence.
ACAAAGGCUCUUUUCAGAGCCACCCAAUUAACCUGAUAAAGAGCUU